GUUAUCUUCUGAUAUUAAUUCAUCUUGGAGACUCUUCAUGCUAGUGCUCGGUCUUGUCGCUACAUUCAUCUUCCAAUUGUUAUAGGGUAAAAAAGAGUUGACUGUUGUCGAAGGAAAUCAAUUAUGAAGUUUUGACAAGUUUCUUUGAAUUUCUUCUGAUUGGAAACUCAAGCUUCAAUGACGUUCUAGCUUUUGUGAUGAAACUCAACCUUGAUGAUGAUGUUCUUGCUUUUCUGAUGACCUUCUUUCUGUUUGGAGAAGAUGUUUAAUGGACUGUUUGGCUGUCCUUGCAAGUUUUGUGGCCAUCUAUAGCGCCGCCCUAUGCCAUCUUCAGGGUGCUUGCCCUUCUGUAAUUAGUCUUUUACUACCUCUGACUAAAGUUAAUGCUGUUUUCUAUACCUUGCUAUAUUCUGCGAAUAUGAAAUAGAUUUGACAUUUAUAAGGUUCAAACUUAUACUAA